AGAGCAUCAUUUCUGCCAUUUGGUGGCAGCCAAGGAGGUCUGGUCUCCAUAGCUAAACUCACAGAACAAGGAGAUACCCCACAUGGCAGCAGGGAAUAAAUUUCUGCAGAACAAUGUUUUCAACUACCAGGACAUUGAGAAGGCUGCCAUGGCUUUGCUGACAUCAGCCAGAGCAUGGGGCACCAAGCCCCACAUGUCAGUGCGUGGGGAAGCAUUCUGGUCCACUUGGACACCACUGCCCACUGUGACAUCUGUGUUCUCCAUUUCUGGGCGCGUGAGUUGAGAUGGCAAGGAUUUCAUUUUCUGAGCUGCCAGGCUCGCCUUGUUUUUGCUGAAAUCAGGACAAAGCACAGCAGAAGCCUGCAGUUUGGUUGUAGUGGGGUAUCUGCAUACCUGGAGGGCAGAGAUUGAACUAAUGGGAGAUGAGGAUGGGUGAAAAUGGAGAUGGCAAUCCCCAGCAAUUUCUGCCAGGAGAUAAAGAAGGCCAUUAGCAGCUCUCCUGGGCAGCAGAGUGCUGUGUCACUGGUGCUACUCUUCCUCCCGGAGCAGGCAGCAGGGCUUUAUGUUUGGUCCUUUCUCCUGGUGCCGGAGAGCCACUUGGAUGUGCAGGUGCCACGUGUGCAGCCACCAGAUGUCUACAUGGGGAUCUAUAAAGCAAUAAGCAGCAGAGUCCAGAUAACAAGGCUUAGUGGGAAUAAAGAUAAGGCAGCAUCCACGCCAUCAGUGCACACAUGGGCAAAGACGAGAGCAGGAAGAGCAGGAAGCACCUCACAACCUCUGUGCACGAGAGCAAGAUAGACCCAAGAUAGAGUAAGAAGGAGGAGAUGCAACCCAUCAACCUCCUUCUGCAUCCUCUCUGCACCCAUGGAUCUACUGGGAGAGGCAUUCUGGUGCACUUCCCUGAAGCUGAUGUGUGAAACAGUCUCUGCAGGAGAUAAUGGUGAGCAGCCCUCAAUGAAAGCAGGAGCUAAAUCUGAUUCAUGGUAAUCGCAUGAAAUGUGUUACCCAGUCAUCUGCUGCUUUGUACAGCGUGCCAACACUGAUAUAAUGAACCGCUGAUCGUUCACUUAAUAGCUACACAGUGGCUGAAAAGCUGGGGACUCCUACAUCAUGUAAAUUUGCCUAGAUUUCAUACGCCUACUGGUGACCUCCAAUCCCUUUUGCAGUAGUUUAGUUCCUCAGAAUAUAAUUCCUCAGAUUUUUUUUCUUUUUUUUUUUUUUCUUCAGUGAGGUAAUUGAAGCAAGAGUUAGGUCCCUGGUGUUACAUUAAAUUGCCUUGAAUUACCCAUGGCAGAAAGUUUCAACAAAGGUGAAACAGCGGGUGUUUUUUUUUAGAUGCUCAUCACCAAAUUUCUUUGCAUAAGAUUCUUUUUUCUUUUUUUGCCCCCCAGUAAGUCUUCACUUAUUUUUCCAAAUGUUGAACCUUUCUGCCUGAGAGCUGAUGGUACUGCUACUCCAGGGGAGUCUCAGCAUGUGGGACAAGUGAAAUUAGCAGUAAUCAGAUAAAAUUAUAUGGUAUUAUGAGGGACUGAUAGUGCUGAAAGAGAACAAGAAACCGUAGAUAGUCUUACCUUGAGGGUUUUAAAACAUGAUGAUUUAAAGAAGCCAACUGCAAUACGUACUAAGAUGUCGAAGCCAAAAAUAACCUUCAAAUUGCUCAUUACCUUGAGGUUGUGGAUGCCCCGUCCCUGGAGGUGUUCAAGGCCAGGUUGGAUGGAGCCCUGGGCAGCCUGGUCUAGUAUUAAAUGGGGAGGUUGGUGGCGCUGCAUGUGGCAGGGGUUUAAGAUUCAUGAUCCUU
rnacentral:lncRNA from 1 species